UAGAUCUUAAGUGCAUUUCUGAAAAUGGUGAUUUGCCUUUUUAUGUGAGAGCUCAACAGGGUAAACUGGCAACAAACAAGGAUUUAAAAAUACAACCAUGGACUCCUACAAGUAUCAACGAAUGAAAAUCACUUACAUGCCACUUCCAGAGAUGCAUUUCGACUUACUGCUUCACCGAGAUAGUUCCUCGCAACACAGACGUAGCUUCCUUCAUCGGGUUUGCUUCUGCGCCCAUGAACAAUGCGCAAGAAAAAUAAGGAUCCGCUGGGCAGAAGCAUCCUGUGAGACCGGGGAUCAUCCUUGUCAGUCUCCACCCGCUCGCCAUCCUUGUACCACUCAAUGGUGGGCGUUGGCCGGCCCUCUGCCUUACAGUUCAAGGUGGUGGGCUCUCCCUUAGAGACAAUGACAUCUGAAGGGUGCUCCACAAUCCGCGGAGGGAAGUCUUCUUGGCGAAGACGAGAUCCCCCUUUCCAAGGUUUUCCUUUCCAGGGGGUCCGAGUCAGCUUGCUCAGAGUUGGUCCAGAGAAAAAGAGCAUCAAAACGAGAAAAAGUUCAAGUCUAGUAAUUCUCCUCACUUUCUCUAAUGAUAACAUUUCCACAAGUUAAUUUCACAAAAUUUCUCACAUCCUCUUCCCUCCCGGUUAUUAAAAUAGCCUUAAUCAUUGAAAAACCCGAGGUAGGUGUUGUUUUGCCAUCUUUAACAGCUGAAGUAGCAGCUCCCUGAUGUAGCCCUGAGCCAAGCUACAUUUCUCACGGAUCCG
rnacentral:antisense_RNA from 1 species